UACGGAGGGUGCAAGCGUUGUCCGGAUUUAUUGGGUUUAAAGGGUGCGUAGGCGGCCCGUUAAGUCAGUGGUGAAAGCCUCCAGCUCAACUGGAGAACUGCUAUUGAUACUGACGGGCUUGAGUACAGACGAGGUUGGCGGAAUUGAUUGUGUAGCGGUGAAAUGCAUAGAUACAAUCAAGAACACCGAUUGCGUAGGCAGCUAACUAGGCUGUAACUGACGCUGAGGCACGAAAGCGUGGGGAGCGAACAGG
rnacentral:rRNA from 1 species